AGGGAUCAUUACUGAGUUUUUGUACUCUAUAAACCAUGUGUGAACAUACCUAUCUUGUAGUGAGACGAAUUGCUGUUUUGGUGGUAGGACCCUUCUGAAGGGCACCGCUGCCAGCAGUAUAUAAGUCUCGCCACUGUAAACUCUUACUAUUUUCUUAAUUUUCAUUGCUGAGUGGCAUAACUAUAAAAAAGUUAAAACUUUCAACAACGGAUCUCUUGGCUCUAGCAUCGAUGAAGAACGCAGCGAAAUGCGAUAAGUAAUGUGAAUUGCAGAAUUCAGUGAAUCAUCGAAUCUUUGAACGCACAUUGCGCCUGGCAGUAUUCUGCCAGGCAUGCCUGUCCGAGCGUCAUUUCACCACUCAAGGACUCCUUUGUUCUUGGCGUUGGAGGUCCUGUUCUCCCCUGAACAGGCCGCCGAAAUGUAUCGGCUGUUAUACUUGCCAACUCCCCUGUGUAGUAUAAAAUUUCUAAUUUUUACACUUUGAAGUUCUUGUGUAACACGCCGCUAAACCCCCCUCAACUUUUGUUGAACUUUCACAAGGUUGACCUCGGAUCAGGUAGGAAUACCCGCUGAACUUAA
rnacentral:rRNA from 1 species